rnacentral:rRNA from 1 species
UCGCCUGAGGAUGAGCCCGCGUAGGAUUAGCUAGUUGGUGAGGUAAAAGCUCACCAAGGCGACGAUCCUUAGCUGGUCUGAGAGGAUGAUCAGCCACACUGGGACUGAGACACGGCCCAG